rnacentral:rRNA from 1 species
GACGAACGCUGGCGGCAUGCCUAAUACAUGCAAGUUGAACGAUGAUAUUCUCUGCUUGCAGAGACUUGAAGAGUAGCGAACGGGUGAGUAACACGUGGGGAACCUGCCCAUGAGAGGGGGAUAACAUUCGGAAACGGAUGCUAAUACCGCAUAAUGCUUUGGACCGCCUGGUCCAGAGACGAAAGACGGCUUUUGCUGUCACUCAUGGCUGGCCCCGCGCCGUAUUAGCUAGUUGGUGAGGUAAUGGCUCACCAAAGCUGUGAUACGUAGCCGACCUGAGAGGGUGAUCGGCCACACUGGGACUGAGACACGGCCCAGACUCCUACGGGAGGCAGCAGUAGGGAAUCUUCCACAAUGGGCGAAAGCCUGAUGGAGCAAUGCCGCGUGAAUGAAGAAGGUCUUCGGAUCGUAAAGUUCUGUUAUUAGAGAAGAACAAGUCAAGGAGUAACUGUCUUGACUUUGACGGUACCUAACCAGAAAGUCACGGCUAACUACGUG